CAGAGAGGAAGAGAAAAGAAAGGAAGAAACAUUAGAAAGAAAAAGGAAGGAAAACGGUAUAAAGAGAGAUCAAUUACCCACCCUUAAAUAGCUAGAUUGGGGGGGGAGGGGGGUGGAAAAGAAAGCUGUGGAGGUGUGCCCCAGCACGGCUGCUUUGAAAGGUUUAUCAUCUAUCCGUUUGGUUUAUGGAGAAAAAGAAAAUGGUAACUCAGGGUAACCAGGAGCCGACAACAACUCCUGACGCAAUGGUUCAGCCUUUUACUACCAUCCCAUUUCCACCACCUCCGCAGAAUGGAAUUCCCACAGAGUAUGGGGUGCCACACACUCAAGACUAUGCCGGCCAGACCGGUGAGCAUAACCUGACACUCUAUGGAAGUACGCAAGCCCACGGGGAGCAGAGCAGCAACUCACCCAGCACACAAAAUGGAUCUCUUACGACAGAAGGUGGAGCACAGACAGACGGCCAGCAGUCACAGACACAAAGUAGUGAAAAUUCAGAGAGUAAAUCUACCCCGAAACGGCUGCAUGUCUCUAAUAUUCCUUUCCGCUUCCGGGACCCUGACCUCCGGCAGAUGUUUGGGCAGUUUGGCAAAAUCCUAGAUGUAGAAAUAAUCUUUAAUGAACGUGGCUCUAAGGUAAGCUCCAUUUCAGUGUCAAGUGUGCUUGAUUUCUUUUUGAGUUUUAUGUUAUUUUAAAUAGCAAGUAUUCAGAAAACAUAAGCUGUUUUCAAGCCUGCAUAAAAGUAUCCUAAUUAUCCACCUUGGUUUAGAUUAUCUCUAAAAAUAAGCUACCACAUGGCCAAACUUUAUUCUGAUACGUAUAUGGGGGUGGAAGGGUGAUGAAGUAAGAAGCAGAGACGGUUGAGGGAAGAGUGGGACAUAAAGAACACAGGAUGUAGGAGAUGACAGUGCUUUAUGAGCCUUAAAUUCGGCCUCAGCUUUCUCCGUUUAAAGGAAAAGUGCAAAGACUAAAUAAAGUGAAAUUCUACGAGAAUUCUAUUCUGA
rnacentral:sRNA from 1 species